GACGAACGCUGGCGGCGUGCUUAACACAUGCAAGUCGAACGGAAAGGCCCUGCUUUUGUGGGGUGCUCGGGUGGCGAACGGGGGAGUAACACGUGAGUAACCUGCCCUUGACUUUGGGAUAGGUUCAGGAAAGUGGGGCUAAUACCGGAUAGGAGCUCCUGCUGCGGGGUGGGGGGGGGAAAGUUUCGGCGGUCGGGGAUGGACUCGCGGGUUAUGAGCUUGUUGGUUGGGUAGUGGAUGACCAAGGCUGUGACGGGUAGCCGGCCUGAGAGGGUGACCGGCCACAUUGGGACUGCGAUACGGCGCAGACUCCUACGGGAGGCAGCAGUGGGGAAUAUUGCCCAAUGGGCGGACGCCUGAUGAGGCAACGCUGCGUGCGUGAUGACCGCCUUUGGGUUGUAAACCGCUUUCGCCUGUGACGAAGCGUUAGUGACGGUACUGGGUAAAUAAGCACCGGCUAACUACGUG
rnacentral:rRNA from 1 species